UUUGCCAGGGUUUAGGAUGCCCUGAGUUAGAUGACACCAUGCCCUUUCUGGGUCUGACACCCUUUUUUCUCUUUAAGGUCUAAAUUACACAAAAUUGAGGUGGGGACAGCAAAAGAGAAAAAAAUACCAUGAGUGAUAAUAAGAAAAAGAAACAAUGAAGAAAGAAGGGAUUAAGUGGAUUGCAGCAUUAUGCAGCAGGUUCAUUCAGGUUCCAUCCAGCAAAUCUGAAACUAAGACGUCUCCAUAUACAUCUGAAGGAGAACCUGCUGAAGGAGCCCUCUGUGGCCCAGUGCUGUCUGUGGCUGUUGCAGAAAAGAGAGGCUGGGGGAACACUGGGGCAAAAUCUGAAGAUCCCACACCUGGAGUUGCCCACUGUGUAUGGAGUUUAGUUUGGACACACACUGGGGGAAAUUGGUAUUACCUGGGGUCCCAGCACUGCUGUUGAUGCUAUGGAAUGAAGGGGGAAGCCACAGGGACACCUUGGAGGUCUGUGCUGGGCUGUAGCACUUUACAGUAACCCUCCAUGGUGAGGAGGCCCACUGGCCUGUUUGGGCUACACUCAAGCUGUCUUGGAUGCUUGGCAUUUGCAGGAAAAGUCCAGGGAGCCUGCAGGAGAAGCAGAAGCCCUGGAGGCCCUGGGAUCCUGGCAUGAUUAGGCUGUCUUUGCCCUUCUGCAUGGAGGCCUGGCAAAGAUUGGCUCUUUCCCAAAGUGGGGAAUUCCUGUUCUCAUUUGGGCUGGUAGGGAGAUUGCUGUUUGCACAGGGGUCAGGGGUGGUCUUCCUCUCUGGGCAGGAUAGGGGGCUUGUAAAUAUGAUUGGCUUGCUGUUUGCUUUUUGCCUUGUCUCCUGAUCCUCUCAAGAUUUGCCUGGCUCCUCUGCGUAUUAUUAGCAGUUGUUAUAGACUGCAUUGUCUGUCCACUGUCUCGCCACCCCACACCGAAGUCAUAGAAUGAAACUCUGCCAAUAUUUGGACAUAGAACCUUUAAAGAGAUGAUAAAAGUUAAGUUAGGUCAUACGGGUGAUGAUUUAAUGUGACUGGUAUCCUUAUACAAAGAGGAGAAACUAGGGAUAUAUAGGCACAGAGGAAGCCAGCAAGGAAGCCAAAA
rnacentral:lncRNA from 1 species